GACAGGCUCCGCAGAGCUGCCGGCGGACACCGGACAGAGACAAUGCGGCGGAUCCUUUCUCUCCCGAAGAGUGGCGUGGAUGACAGAGACGAGAAGAACAGGCUGUCCAACGAACAGAGUUCUGGUGACUCAUGGCUUUCAAUAGAUGAUGAACUCUUUGAUUCUGGUACCAAGACUACCUUUGAGAAUGUUCCACAGAAAUAUGAUAGUCGCUUAACUGGAGCUGAUGGUCAAAGAGGAAAAAUUACAAUAAAGAACAAGAAGCCACAGGGGAAGGAGAAAGAGAUGAAGAAAUAGAAAUCAUCGCUGGAAGAUCCCACUGCUAAAUGAAGAGAAGAGAAGUCAUGGGAAUAGUCCAUCAAAAGAAGGCAGAAGGGUCAGAACCAGGACAACAGAUCUAGAGAUUACUUUGCAAAGGAAGAGGGAUUGUGAGUGGAGGAGGAGGGAGGAAAGAAAGAAGUUGGCUACUUAAUUUUGGAGUUGAUAAUAGGGAAACUUGAGAGCUGUCACUUCUGGUGACUGCAGUAUAGUGGCACUCAAACAGAAGAUUAGGUGAUUGCUGUUCCAGGAAUUACUGGAAGGAGGGAGUGCUAGAAUGGGGGUAAACCACAGGAACUAAUUUCUUCUCUCUGUAACUGUCAGACAUCAAAGAUGCAUGUUUUAUUGAUAUUGUGUCCGGAAUUGGUGGGUUCUUGGUCUCACUGACUUCAAGAAUGAAGCUGCGGACCCUCGCGGUGAGUGCUACAGCUCUUAAGGUGGCGCAUCUGGAGUUUGUUCCUUCUGAUGUUCGGAUGUGUUCGGCGUUUCUUCCUUCUGGUGGGUUCGUGGUUUCGCUGGCUCAGGAGUGAAGCUGCAGACCUUCGCGGUGAGUGUUACAGCUCUUAAAGCAGCACGUCUGGAGUUGUUCGUUACUCCCGGUGGGCUCGUGGUCUCGCUGGUUUCAGGAGUGAAGCUGCAGAUCUUCGCGGUGAGUGUUACAGCUCAUAAAAGCAACGUGGACCCAAAGAGUGAGCAGUAGCAAGAUUUAUUGCAAAGAGUGAAAGAACAAAGCUUCCAGUGUGGAAGCUGACCUGAGCAGGUUGCCACUGUUGGCUGGGGCAGCCUUUUAUUCUCUUAUCUGGCCCCACCCACACCCUGCUGAUUGGUAGAGCCGAGUGGCCUGUUUUGACAGGGCGCUGAUUGGUGCCUUUACAAUCCCUGAGCUAGAUACAAAGGUUCUCCACCUCCCCAUCAGAUUAGUUAGAUGCAGAGUUUCAACACACAGGUUCUCCAAGGCCCCACCAGAGCAGCUAGAUACAGAGUGCCGAUUGGUGUAUUCACAAACCUUGAGCUAAACACAGGGUGCUGAUUGGUGUGUUUAGAAACCUUGAGCUAGAUACAGAGUGCUGACUGGUGUAUUUACAGUCCCUGAGCUAGACAUAAAGGUUCUCCAAGGCCCCACCAGAGCAGCUAGAUACAGAGUGUCGAUUGGUGCACUCACAAACCCUGAGCUAGACACAGGGUGCUGAUUGGUGUGUUUACAAUCCCUGAGCUAGACAUGAAGACUCUCCACGUCCCCACCAGACUCAGGAGCCCAGCUGGCUUCAACCAGUGGAUACCGCAC
rnacentral:lncRNA from 1 species